rnacentral:tRNA from 1 species
GCGCGAUUAGCUCAGUGGUUAGAGCACACGCUUGAUAAGCGUGGGGUCGGAAGUUCAACCCUUCCAUCGCGCACCA